rnacentral:rRNA from 1 species
AUACGGAGGAUCCGAGCGUUAUCCGGAUUUAUUGGGUUUAAAGGGUGCGCAGGCGGCCAUUUAAGUCAGCGGUUAAAUCGUGGGGCUCAACCCCAUUCUGCCGUUGAUACUGGGUGGCUUGAUUGCGGUCGAGGUUGGCGGAAUUCGUUGUGUAGCGGUGAAAUGCAUAGAUAUGACGAAGAACACCGAUUGCGUAGGCAGCUGACCAGACCGCAAAUGACGCUCAUGCACGAAAGUGCGGGGAUCGAACAGGAUUAGAUACCCUGGUAGUCCGCACAGUAAACGAUGAAUACUUGUUUUCGGCGAUAUAAUGUCGGAGGCAAAGCGAAAGCGAUAAGUAUUCCACCUGGGGAGUACGCCAGCAACGGUGAAACUCAAAUGAAUUGACGGGG